GUAGGUGGCAAGCGUUGUCCGGAAUUAUUGGGCGUAAAGCGCGCGCAGGCGGUCCUUUAAGUCUGAUGUGAAAGCCCACGGCUCAACCGUGGAGGGUCAUUGGAAACUGGGGGACUUGAGUACAGAAGAGGAAAGCGGAAUUCCAAGUGUAGCGGUGAAAUGCGUAGAGAUUUGGAGGAACACCAGUGGCGAAGGCGGCUUUCUGGUCUGUAGCUGACGCUGAGGCGCGAAAGCGUGGGGAGCAAACAGGGAUUAGAUACCCUGGUAGUCCACGCCGUAAACGAUGAGUGCUAAGUGUUAGGGGGUUUCCGCCCCCUUAGUGCUGCAGCUAACGCAUUAAGCACUCCGCCUGGGGAUACGGCCGCAAGGCUG
rnacentral:rRNA from 1 species